GGCGUCGAGCGGCGGACGGGUGAGUAAUGCCUAGGAAAUUGCCCUGGUGUGGGGGAUAACCAUUGGAAACGAUGGCUAAUACCGCAUAAUACCUUCGGGUCAAAGAGGGGGACCUUCGGGCCUCUCGCGUCAGGAUAUGC
rnacentral:rRNA from 1 species